rnacentral:tRNA from 1 species
UAGGAAGUAGCAUAAAAUGCAUUUUGAUUUCGACUCGAAAAGGGGUAUUAACCACUUCCUAA